GAAGCUGUGAUAACAUAAGACUUUAAUGUGUUAUGGGCAGUACUGGACGUAACUUUUAAUUAAGUUAUGUUGUGAGCCUAUAUAAUAAACAACUUCUCAUUUCACUGAGCUUC